UACAGAGGGUGCAAGCGUUGUUCGGAAUUAUUGGGCGUAAAGAGCUCGUAGGCGGUCUGUCGCGUCGGAUGUGAAAACCCGGGGCUUAACCCCGGGCCUGCAUUCGAUACGGGCAGACUCGAGUGUGGUAGGGGAGACUGGAACUCCUGGUGUAGCGGUGAAAUGCGCAGAUAUCAGGAGGAACACCGGUGGCGAAGGCGGUUCUCUGGGCCUGUACUGACGCUGAGGAACGAAAGCGUGGGGAGCGAACAGG
rnacentral:rRNA from 1 species